GGCCUAGUGGUUAGGAUUCCUGGCUCUCAUCCAGGCGGCCCGGGUUCGACUCCCGG
rnacentral:tRNA from 1 species